UUUUUUAAGUAUAACAAAAACAUUUUAUUAAUUUGAUUUUUAAAAUUUAAUUUAAUUUUCUUUUUUCUUUCCUUUUUUUUUUUACUUUGAAGUUUUGAAUCAAUUCCCCCCACCACCUCUUUGGAUGGUUUUUGCUUCUCAGACAGGCCCCAGCUGCCAAUUUGCAGAUUUCCCCCCCCUUUUUUUUCCUUUCAACAAAUGAGCUCAAUUGCAAUGAGAAUAAUAUAUUGAAGAAACUAAGCCAAGUGAAUUUUUAUAUAUUAGUGAGACAGUAUAGUUAUUGUAUUCCAGUACAUGAGAGAGAAAGCCUGCGGAUUUGAGCUUAACUCUCUGUCCUGUCCAUCUUUGUUUUCAGAAAUAACACAGAACUGCCCUGGAGAGCUCAUAACACCUCCAGCCAUUUCUGUAAACGCCAAUUUCCUUCCUGAGCUCCCAAACUAUGGCUACUGCUUACAGCUCUCAGGCUUUUUUCAUUCAUGUAUACCAAUUUAAUACAUCAGAGGCGGGAAAGCAUCUUUGGGGUCAGCGAGAACAUGAGAAAAAGCAUAAACAUAUAUGAGUACAUGGCAUAUUUUAGUAUAUGUUACCUAUCCUAAAGAGAACUAUAAGCCUUCUAGUACUUAAGUGGGACAUUAAGAACCAUCACAGAGCUUAAAAGGAAGUAUUGGAUUAUAUAAUAGCUCCUUUGGGGAUUAUCUCUUAUUGCGUACCCUUUACUACCCUGAAGAUGUGGUGGAGAAAAGAUGAGCUGAGGUUGUAGAAUAACUCUUAAUCCCCUCACUGCGGCAAAGCCUCCUUAUCCUGUAAAGAUGUGUCAGGGCCACUGAUGGGCAGGCAUUACAAAAAUGUCUAGGCUCUGGAAAGAAUUCUGAGUCUUGAUUUCCUACUAGUUGCAGAUUUCUUUCAACCUGCUCUGCAUCUCUGUUCCAAGAGUAGUUGAUGGUUUUCUUUUGUUUAAUUUUUUGUAA